rnacentral:lncRNA from 1 species
CUCAAUGUGGUUAUUUACUUAAAUGCAAAGUCUGCAUUAAUUUAUCUUGUUCUGAAUGGCCCCAUAUUUAUUAGUAAGGUGGAUUUGCAGGUUUUAACUUUUAAACCUCAAAUUCCUGCUUUUAAAUUCCCAUUUAGAAAGCUUCAAAAGAAUGACAAGUCACUUAGUGCAGUUACUAGAAUCAUUUUUGAGGACCCAUAAUCAGCAUCUACUUUGAAUAACAAUUGAAAGAGCUAAGAGGAAUUACUUCAUUCAUCUUCAAACAAGGCUACAUGGAAAGAGCAGAGGAAGACUGAGCAGUUCGUAGUGCACACACGAUACAUACCAAAGUAAGAUUGCAGUAUGCUACAUCUAGCACACUUAUUUAUGGCUCGCUAGCAGAAAACCAAAACACCAUCUAAGCAUAACAGGCUCACAAACUCGGUCUAGUUAUUACAACCAUGCAUGAGUAAAAUCAUGGACGAAUUGGUGCUGGAACACUGCCACCACCUCCAGGAAUGGGAACCUCAUAGCCAGGGUUAGGAACAAAGGUGUCAUCACCACCGGGAACAUAACUGCGUCCUGGUCGACCCGAUCCUGAUCCGGCUCCAGCUCCUGUUCCAGCUCUUCCAGCGCCACCAGUAAAUGGAUUCUGGGGUAUAAGCCCAUGCUUUGGUGGAAAUCCUACUGGUCCAACGCCUGGAAUGUACACUCUGCCAUCAUGCUUGAACAAGAACUCAGGCUCUUUCUUGUCCUGGGUGUUAGAGUUCAUGGCAAUGUUGCUUCGUCCAGCAACUGCGACAAGGAGGAUAUUGGAGAUGAGAAGGAGUGAGAGUAAAAGGGAAACUCUGUGAGCCAUUCUCUCUCAGAUAACAAGUGCAAAGAGGUUAUCAGUGAUGUGUAUUCUGGUAUUCAACAACUUUUGAGUUGAAGAAGCUAGAAGGGGGUGACUGCAUUAUAUAGUUCUAGAUUCUGCAGUAUUGAGUGAACUUUGGCGGUGAGUAAAGUGUUUCUUGAGGAAAUGUCGCUGGCAGGGUCGUGGUUCAUGAAUCAUGAUGCAUGCUAGUAAAUCAUUUGUUCAGCCUCAGUUUAUUAUUACCAUUUGUAGAAGAUAUUCACCAAAGUUGUAUCGGCUACUAAAUGCAGCCUUCACAUGGCUGAUUUAUGCACCGUAAUAUGUAGAAAUCUUGGGAUUGCUUCUACCUACAUUCUAGAUGUUUUAUUACUUUCACUUGCUAGUUGUUACUUGAGCAUUUUUUAAGCUGAAAGAGAAGUGGUAGUUAAUGCACUAUGUAGCGGCACUUUCAACAUGCCCUUUUCACACCGUAAAAUAUUUGUAGGCAUACCCAUUGUGCAGAUAUCCAACAGACAAGAUAUCCAGAGUGAGAAAGAAAGAAUUGAGAGAGAACUAACUAAUGUGAUAUACGAUGGAAUAAAAAGAUAGGAAGAGAAAUGAGAAAUCUGUUGGAUGUCUGUACUGUUUGUAUGUCUGACUAUCAUUCACAAUCCAGUGAAAAAGAACAAUUGUUUUUAAGGAAAACGUUACCAACACUCAUUUUUAACACUUUUUCAUUAAUGAUUGAAAUUAAUAUUGGUCCACUAAAAAUAUUGGUUCCCCAUCCAAUUCACAUAACUCAGAUUCUCUUCUUCAUUUUGCAUCUUCCUUCGUUUCCUGGGCUUGAACCAUCAUGGGCUUGGCCCAUUCACCAUUUAGCUGCCCCUUCCCUUGAACUCCACUAUAUUGGGAGUUCAAUUUUGUAUUUCCCACCACCUUAGAUCAUAUUUUGAAAUUGAAUUUAACGGUGCUCACUAGGGUGGGCACUUUGCAUUUUGGUCCACUGGUGGACUAGGGGAUAUUUUAGACUUUUUCGUUCCUUUCUUUCUCCCUUCCACUCUACCUUCCACACUACCUUGAGUACCAUCCUCAACAGAACAUGAAACGCCCUUUUACUCUGAUGAUUCUGAUUAUUAAGCUGCUUUAAUAUACUGGACAUUGAAAUUGAAAUUUCCAAUUUCCAUUACUUAUUAUUAUUUCUACUCCUCGAUCUCAAAUGAUUUCAAUCUCUGUAAUAUUUGUUUGUGUUAAAUUUCUAUAUAAACUAGAAAACAAAAGGAUCCAUGGAAAUGCAUGUUAGCUCACCCCUAUAUUAUAUCAAUUCUUCAGAUUUUUGUCAAACCCACACCCACACAUACAGAUCUGAAACAAAUGUAGUUUGCUCCUGAUUCUGGAAUUGGAUUGAUCGAUCCUUAUUUAAUUUCCGUUUUUUAACAGUGUUGCUGCUACUCCUCCUUUCAAGACCAGUGUUGAAAAUUGGUUCUGUCAAUCGAACCCAGAUCUGAAGAGUGGCGACACGGUGAACGCGUGGAUCGAGUUCGAUGGGUCCAUUCAGGGGUUGAAUGUUUGGGUCUCGUAUUCCAAUCUGAAACCGAAAGAUCCCAUUUUAUCGAUGAAUCUUGACAUGGGUCCGCUUCAACGCAUGAUAACAUGGAGACUCACCGGGUGGGUGGAGUGGUGGAGCUUCAACUCGUCAUUUGGUGGAACAGGUUUCUCAACAGCGUCGUCGCCGCCGCCGCUCCUUCUCCGGACCCGUCCGAAAAUACAUCGAAUGAGAUUUGGGAGCGGUUGAUGGGGUUGUCACUGCAGGGGCUUUCGUUUUGGCUCUGUUUGCAGGGUCGCUGUUUUGGGUUUAUUCUAAGAAGAUGAUGAAGCAAGUUAACCGUUCUGAUUCUCUUGGAUAACUGGUAUUAUGCAAGGCCAGCAAAGGCACACCCUCAAUGCACUUUCUCUGAACUAGUCACGCAAUACCCAUGACCAAAACAACCAGAAAAAAAGGGUCUUUUUACUUUUUUACCCUUUGAUCAUCCAUCAAAUCCUAGCCAUCUAAAUAAAGAAUAUUCCAAGAUUCUUAAAUCCAACGGUGUUUAAGUUUGGUCCACCGGUGGACCAAAAUGCAAAGUGCCCACCCUAGUGGGCACCGAGUUUAACUCCUACCUUAUCUCUAGAAACCCUAACAUGCGAAUUAUCAAGUGUGAUCUCCUUGUGGCUUCUUCUCACUUUGCUUAUCAAUCUUCUACAUGAUGAUUGUGGUUUAACCAUCCAUCACUCUUUUCUCCUUCCAUCUUUGUAUUUUCUUCUUCCAAAAAUUCAUCUCAUUUUCUAUUUCCUUUCUUUCUUUUCAUUUUUUUCCCACUUUUCUUCUACAUACCAAACAUACUUAUACAUGGUUUGUUUAUAAGGAAAAUGAGUGGAAUCAAAAGGGGAGGAAGAGAUUAUGAAUGGAAAAGUGUGUAUUCCAUGGUUGGGAUAAGUUGAAAAGGGUGGGGGAUGAAUAGAAAUAAUGUUUUGUUCAUAUUUCUUAUCAUCUCCAGCUUCAAUCUACAUUUGACAAUCCGGCAAAAAAUUUCUUGUCCAAAUUUUAAUUUCUAUAUUGGAUACAUUGAAUUGAAGUUUGCAAGUAACACUAAAACAAAACAUACACAAACAUUAUCGUUGUGUUUGCACUAACGCUCAAAAUAAACAACUUUCUUAACAGAGUGUAAGCAAAAUAUAUUAGGAACAAUUUUUUUCUCACUAGAAAACCGAAAAAGUAAAAAACAAAAAUGAGAUGGUCGAAAAGUGUAAGCAUAUAUGAUUGAAGUUGCAGGGCUCACAUCACAAAUAAUAACCGAAUCUCAUCAAUGAAUGUGAUGAGUUGAAGUUCAAGAAGACAGGUCACUCAAGUUGUCGUUGAAUGUUUAUAUCAUCAAAAACUAAUAAUAUAACUUGGAUAAAUUUUUUUUAAAAAAAUUAGUGCAAUUUAUUUAAUAUUCAUUUACAAGUGAAGAGCUUUGAUAUAUAUUUUUUAUCAUAAAUUCUUAUAUAUUAAAUUUUUAUAAUUUAUUCAUUUGUAUUUUAAAUAAUGAACUGAAUAGGGGAAAAGAACUCUUCCAUUUUAGAAUGUUACGGAAAGAACGCCAAAAUAUUUAAUAGUUUUAUUAAAUAAAAUCAAUACAUUUGACAUAAUUGACAUAAUAUAACUAAUAACGUUCCUUUUACGUUAGUCUUUUCCGAUUGGGCCCCCAUGCAGCUUUUUUAUGGCUUAUCAUCAUUUAUCAUGAUUCAGUUUACUUUACAUAAAGCUUUCAAUUAUACAUUUCCUUAAUAAGUAAUUUCCAGUUCAUGAUAAAAUGUUCUAGAUUUAGUUGGAGAUAUAUAUUUCAGUAGUAAUGGCACUCUAUCACCAAACAUUCAAAUUUGUUGGGAUUCAACAUUACCGGUAAAUCGUAUCCUUGCCAUUUUCCAUUUCAAAAAAAAUAAACAUUACCGGUAAGAAGAAGAGAAUGAAUAUUCCAUGAGCAUGGCAUACUAUAUAUAUAUAUAUGUUAAUUGUCAAAUUAUUCUUUGAAUUUAUAAGUGAGUUUGAUUUUAAACCCUCUUAGGAAAAAUGACGUUUAGUAACGGUCAAAAACCGUCAUUAAUUGUAAAAAUGACCACCCCUAAACGUUUUUUUCCUCAUAGAGACUAAACUAAAAUUAAACUCGCUUAUAAAGUCAGGGACUAAUUUGACCAUUAAUCAUAUAUAUAUAUAUGUGUGUGAGAGAGGGGGGGGGAAUCAACUUAGGGUCCGUUUUGAAACGAACCAAAAAGCACUUAUUCGAACUCUGCUCUCUGACAGUGACCAAAACCAAACUGGCUACAAUCGUGGGGAUGGGGACCAAGUUAUUUUCCGGGAAGAGACUAAAAUCAAAUUCUCUUACAAACAAGUGAUUAAUUUAAUGAUUAAACCUUAAUUUAAUUACUAAAAAAAUGAAUUAUUAAUCGCAAAAGUUUAAAAAUAAAAUUAUAUUAUUAUAAAUACAGUAUCCAACACAAACUUAGAAGGACUUUUAGGCUAAUGAAACAAUUUGUUCCUUCUACUUCUUCUGCAUUCAAACUCAAACAAUGGACUUUAGCUUACUUGCUGGAAUACUUUAGUGUUUGCUUGAUUUUCAAUUGAAAACCAUCCCCAAUUUAUGUUUAGCAAAGACAAGAAUUUUCCCUUGAAAAAUGUUGCAUUAUAUCUCAAGAUUACCUUUGCAAGAAUGCAAUCUGAUACAGAUAAACAUCUCAAUGCCUGUUAUCACCGCCUUGCAUUAUGCUGAAACACUUACAUUUUGUGACCUUAACUAAGCAUUAGUUUUCUACAAGUACUUUUAGUAAACAAAAGAGCAUCAAAAUGAUACCACUUCCACAAAAUUCUACUAUCUUGAAAUCACUGUUGCACCAGGUAUUAACAAUAAUCUAUCAUGAAUUUGGCCUUUCCUCAGAAAAUCUAGGAAGUUGAACAAGCGAGUUUACCCGAGUUACCCCCUCCAAACCUGACCAGUUUUGAUCAUCAGCGUAUGAUGUUGCAUCUUCAACAUCGACAGGUACUGCUCCAUUAGUCUCAUCUUCUUCCGAGGAUCUCACUGUGAAGUUCCUCUGCA